AACGAACGCUGGCGGCAUGCCUAACACAUGCAAGUCGAACGAAGGCUUCGGCCUUAGUGACGCACGGGUGCGUAACGCGUGGGAAUCUGCCCUUUGCUUCGGAAUAACAGUUAGAAAUGACUGCUAAUACCGGAUGAUGUCGCAAGACCAAAGAUUUAUCGGCAAAGGAUGAGCCCGCGUAGGAUUAGCUAGUUGGUGGGGUAAAGGCCUACCAAGGCGACGAUCCUUAGCUGGUCUGAGAGGAUGAUCAGCCACACUGGGACUGAGACACGGCCCAGACUCCUACGGGAGGCAGCAGUGGGGAAUAUUGGACAAUGGGCGAAAGCCUGAUCCAGCAAUGCCGCGUGAGUGAUGAAGGCCUUAGGGUUGUAAAGCUCUUUUACCCGGGAUGAUAAUGACAGUACCGGGAGAAUAAGCUCCGGCUAACUCCGUG
rnacentral:rRNA from 1 species